CUUGAUCGAGCCAAGCCACAGCGGCUGGUCCGCGGGCCGGUCGGCGCCGUAGGUGGCCAGCAACGCCUGCGCCUC
rnacentral:antisense_RNA from 1 species